GCGGGUGUAGCUCAGUUGGUAGAGCAUCAGCUUCCCAAGCUGAGGGUCGCGGGUUCGAGUCCCGUCGCCCGCUCCA
rnacentral:tRNA from 25 species